rnacentral:rRNA from 1 species
UGGGGAAUAUUGCGCAAUGGCCGAAAGGCUGACGCAGCGACGCCGCGUGGGGGAUGAAGCAUUUCGGUGUGUAAACCCCUGUUGCCCGGGACGAACAAGCAGAUUUCUCUGCUCUGACGGUACCGGGUGAGGAAGCACCGGCUAACUCCGUGCCAGCAGCCGCGGUAAUACGGAGGGUGCGAGCGUUGUCCGGAAUCACUGGGCGUAAAGGGCGCGUAGGCGGUCUGCUAAGCGUGCGGUGAAAGCCCGGGGCUCAACCCCGGGUCUGCCGUGCGAACUGGUGGAGUAGAGCACUGUGGAGGCAGGUGGAAUUCCGGGUGUAGCGGUGGAAUGCGUAGAGAUCCGGAAGAACACCGGUGGCGGAGGCGGCCUGCUAGGCAGUAGCUGACGCUGAGGCGCGACAGCGUGGGG